AGAUGUGUAUGGCCAUUUUUAGGGCACACAGGCAUGUGUGUUGGUAGUGUGACCCAAGUCAGAGAGUUAUAUGGGGUAGGACACGGGUUAGGAAACGGCCAUGUGCUUCCAUUUCGAAUGUCCACUCGGCCUGCGACACGGGCGUGUCUUUAGCCAUGUGAGAGACAUGAUCAGGCUACAUGGAUGUGUGUCCCUUGUUUUUGAGAAAAUUUUCUAAGUGUUCAAAAAGUUUCC
rnacentral:lncRNA from 1 species